AUCACCUUUCAGUGUCUGCUCUGCUGGCUCAUGCAGUGUAGGUUGGCUUACCUCUCCCUGGAAGUCACAUUGUCCUUCAGAACUCUUUUUACUAUGACCCACAAACAGUUUUCAGACCUCACUCUGAUGAGUCAAAGGUAAAGCUGUGAAUAAACAGAUGGUGAAACAACAUUUGCAGUUCUCUGACUUCAGUCCUCCCUGAAACCCACUUGGAAUCUAGCUCUGAAUUCAGCCGGACAUGUUUGUUCUUCCCUUUUCCCAUCCUCACCUACUCCUAACCUUCAGUGUUCUCUUUACCUUUUAUUUUUAUUUUUGUCAUUUUAGUAGUAAAUGACAGGGACAUAGUUACUCAAUUUGUAAAACAUUGAAUGGUGAGGUCAAAGAUUCUAUGACGAGCUUGAGAUUUCUAACAGGUUCAGAUGGAUGACAGCAACAUUUUGCUGGCUUAAUUUUGGAGCUGUUUUUGUAGGUUUUGAAAUGCAGUUUAAUAGUGAGUAAUAGAGAAGUUUCUUUCUGCCGUGGAGCUACUGAACCCUUGAAAGUAACAUGCUGGCACAUACAGAUGAACUGUAGCCCCACAUUUAUUCCUUGCUUAGUGGUAAGCUGUACACUGAACAAUAGAAAACAAAAGGCUAUUUUUCUUUGGAAGAGCAGAUACUGAUUUCUGGACAAAGUUUAUGUUGUACAAGUUAAACAUUUUUUAUUCUUUUCUGGUUAGAUUUUCUGCCUUUUAAAAAAUUAGCUUAGUUGAAAAAGCAGAAAGAUUAAUAACAGUGACAAUUGUGAAUAGAAGCCAGUCAUUACCUAACUGAUAAAAUGAGUGAGGCUAGCAAAGGGCCUGACAGGAAGUGAAAUCACUUACUGAAGUGGUGGUAGAGUACGCAACCAAGAACUAAGAACAGGAGGGAAGUUAACCCUAGGGAGAGUUCGACUCCACUUGAGGAGGAACAUUCUGGCAAUCAGGACUGUCUAAAAAUGGAACAAGCUGAUUGAUUUAGCAGUGAAACCUCUGUCACUGGAGAUGUUCAAACAGAGGUAGUAGGACCCUCUUAUCAGGAAUUCUCCAGAGAGGAGAUGUCACCAAUUUUCAAAGAAUUUGAGUAUAAUUAAAUACACUUCAUAAUAAACUAGGCUGAACAUAAUUUAAUCUUUCCCUGAAGAUGAGGACAGUGGAGCUCAGGAAGCUUGAGGGACUUGCCUAAGCUCAUACAGUAGAUCAAUGGCGGAGACCACUGGACUUCAAAUUCAGUGCUCUUUUUAGUAUUUCAAAGGAUACUAAACAUUUGCUCACAUCUCUGAUGUUCUUUGUGCUGUAUGUGUAGUAACUCAUUUAAUCCUCACAGUGGCCCUGUUAGUAGGUAGAUAUCAGUUCUUCUGGUACUAUUACGAUUCUCAUCUUCAGAGCUGAGGCCACUGAGAGGCACAGAGAAGUUAGGGCAUGCACUAGUGAGUGGCGGAGCUGAAAUCUGAACUUAGAGCUUUGGCUCCAGAGCCCAUGCACUCCACCAUUAUGCUACAUGGCUACUCAGUGUACAGAUACACUGAGCUUAAGUAGAGGAGAAAGCUUAUCUAUCCAUAUCUUCCCAUCUGCAAAGACCUCUGCCUGUAUGGGAGGUCUGGGCUCGUUCUGACUAAGGUUUUGAACCCAGAUCUGCCAAUUUGAGAUCUUGGGCCCAUUACUUAGCCUGAGCUUCAGUUUCCACAUCUCUAAAGUGAAAAUAUAGAACAUGGAAUGUACCUGUAAGAACACAAUGGAAUACAGGUUCAAGCAAUUCUACUGUCUCAGCCUCCUGAGUAGCUGGGACUACAGGCUACCCAAUCAGAGCAAAAACAGUAUUUUAAAAAACCUCAACUGGAUGAGCCUGAUGCAGUGGUGUGCUCAUGCAGUCCCAGCCAAAGGGUCACUUGAGCAGAGGAGUUCAAGGCCAACUUGGGCAACAUAGUGAGACCCCGUCUCUAAGACAAAUAAUAAACAUCAAAAUUAAAAUUAAAAAAAACCCAACCCAGUGUUCCCUUCAGAAUCCUGAGUGGUUUGUUUCAUCUUCCUCUAUUCUGGCUUGUGUCAUCUUCCUCUCUUGUAAUGGAUAAAAACUCCAAAUGAAGACAAAAAUGAGGAAUUUGUCAAAAAAAUUGAAUUGCCAACAAAAGCCAUCUUUGGUUGAUCAAACGGUACAGACGUUUCAGUUAGACAAGAGGGCUAAGUUUCUGAGACCCAUUGUACAGGAUUAUUAAUAUUAUUCAUUUUUAG
rnacentral:lncRNA from 1 species